AGCGCAGGCGGUUCGGUAAGUCAUUGGUGAAAUUCUCAGGCUCAACCUGGGGGCUGCCAAUGAUACUACCGAUCUUGAGUGUGGAAGAGGUAGAUGGAAUUCCUGGUGUAGCGGUGAAAUGCGUAGAUAUCAGGAAGAACACCGAUGGCGAAGGCAGUCUACUGGUCCAUUACUGACGCUCAUGCUCGAAAGCGUGGGGAUCAAACAGGAUUAGAUACCCUGGUAGUCCACGCCCUAAACGAUGGAUACUCGAUGUCGUGCCGCAAGGCUCGGUGUCUAAGCAAACGCAUUAAGUAUCCCACCUGGGAAGUACGAUCGCAAGGUUGAA
rnacentral:rRNA from 1 species